rnacentral:rRNA from 1 species
UACGUAGGGUGCGAGCGUUGUCCGGAAUUAUUGGGCGUAAAGAGCUUGUAGGCGGUUUGUCGCGUCUGCUGUGAAAUCUCAAGGCUCAACCUUGAGCUUGCAGUGGGUACGGGCAGACUAGAGGUGUGGUAGGGAGGACUGGAAUUCCGUGGUGUAGCGGUGAAAUGCGCAGAUAUCAGGAGGAACACCGAUGGCGAAGGCAGGUCUCUGGGC